rnacentral:rRNA from 1 species
CCCUAUUAUUUUUGAAUGUUAAUUUUCGUAUGCUAGAGUAGUAUUAGUUUUGUUCUUGAAACUUAAAGAAUUUGGCGGUAUCUUAUUCUGUUCAGAGGAACCUGUCUCGUUAUCGAUAGUCCGCGUUGGACCUUACUUAGUUUGUGAGUGGUUUGUAUACCGCCGUUUGAUGUUUAUCUUUUUAGGGGUUAUUUAAAUGUUCUUGUUUCUUAAUUUAGGUUUUAUCUCAGGUCAAGGUGCAGCUUGUUUCUAAGUGGUAUGAUGGGUUACAGUAUUAUUUUGUUUGUUGGAUUGACUUCCUGUAAUUGGUGGUAUGAAAUUGGAUUUGAUUGUAAUGUUUUGUAGAUUGUUUUCAUGAUGUUUAGCUCUGAGGUAUGUACACAUCGCCCGUCGCUCUCUCUUUUAUUUUUGGUGAGAUAAGUC